GACGAACGCUGGCGGCGUGCCUAAUACAUGCAAGUCGAACGCACUCUCGUUUAGAUUGAAGGAGCUUGCUCCUGACUUGAUAAACAUUUGAGUGAGUGGCGGACGGGUGAGUAACACGUGGGUAACCUGCCCCUAAAGUGGGGGAUAACAUUUGGAAACAGAUGCUAAUACCGCAUAAAACCUAACACCGCAUGGUGUAGGGUUGAAAGAUGGUUUCGGCUAUCACUUUAGGAUGGACCCGCGGUGCAUUAGUUAGUUGGUGAGGUAAAGGCUCACCAAGACCGUGAUGCAUAGCCGACCUGAGAGGGUAAUCGGCCACACUGGGACUGAGACACGGCCCAGACCUCCUACGGGAGGCCAGCAGUAGGGAA
rnacentral:rRNA from 1 species